rnacentral:rRNA from 1 species
UACGUAGGGACCAAGCGUUGUUCGGAUUUACUGGGCGUAAAGGGCGCGUAGGCGGCAAUUCAAGUCAGCUGUGAAAUCUCCGGGCUUAACUCGGAACGGUCAGCUGAUACUGUUUUUGCUAGAGUGCAGAAGGGGCAAUCGGAAUUCUCGGUGUAGCGGUGAAAUGCGUAGAUAUCGAGAGGAACACCUGAGGUGAAGACGGGUUGCUGGGCUGACACUGACGCUGAUGCGCGAAAGCCAGGGUAGCAAACGGG